ACUCUAGCGAGACUGCCGGUAAUAACCGGAGGAAGGUGGGGAUGACGUCAAAUCAUCAUGCCCCUUAUGACCUGGGCUACACACGUGCUACAAUGGUUGGUACAACGAGUUGCGAGUCGGUGACGGCGAGCUAAUCUCUUAAAGCCAAUCUCAGUUCGGAUUGUAGGCUGCAACUCGCCUACAUGAAGUCGGAAUCGCUAGUAAUCGCGGAUCAGCACGCCGCGGUGAAUACGGUUCCCGGGCCUU
rnacentral:rRNA from 1 species